AUGCUCGCUUCAGCAGCACAUAUACUAAAAUUGGAACAAUACAGAGAAGUUAGCAUGGCCCCUGUGCAAGGCUGACACGCAAAUUCGUGAAGCAUUCCAUAUUUUU
rnacentral:snRNA from 1 species